rnacentral:rRNA from 1 species
GACGAACGCUGGCGGCGUGCCUAAUACAUGCAAGUCGAGCGCAGGAAAUCAUCCGAACCUUUCGGGGGGACGUUGAUGGAAUGAGCGGCGGACGGGUGAGUAACACGUAAAGAACCUGCCCUCAGGUCUGGGAUAACCACGGGAAAUCGGGGCUAAUACCGGAUGGGUCAUCGGACCGCAUGGUCCGAGGAUGAAAGGCGCUUCGGCGUCGCCUGGGGAUGGCUUUGCGGUGCAUUAGCUAGUUGGUGGGGUAAUGGCCCACCAAGGCGACGGUGCAUAGCCGACCUGAGAGGGUGAUCGGCCACACUGGGACUGAGACACGGCCCAGACCCCUACGGGAGGCAGCAGUAGGGAAUCUUCCACAAUGGACGAAAGUCUGAUGGAGCAACGCCGCGUGAACGAUGAAGGCCUUCGGGUCGUAAAGUUCUGUUGUAAGGGAAGAACAAGUGCCGCAGGCAAUGGCGGCACCUUGACGGUACCUUGCGAGAAAGCCACGGCUAACUACGUGCCAGCAGCCGCGGUAA